rnacentral:misc_RNA from 1 species
GAUGAAGAACGUAGCGAAAUGCGAUAAGUAGUGUGAAUUGCAGAAUUCAGUGAAUCAUCGAAUCUUUGAACGCACAUUGCGGCCAUAGGUAUUCCUUUGGCCAUGCCUGUUCGAGCGUCAUUUACACCCUCAAGCCGAGCUUGGUGUUGGGCGUCUGUCCCGCCGUUCUCGCGCGCGGACUCGCCUCAAAGUCAUUGGCGGCGGUCGUGCCGGCCCCCUCGCGCAGCACAUUUGCGCUUCUCGGAGGCCCGGCGGAUCCGCGCUCCAGCAAGACCUUUCACGACUUGACCUCGGAUCAGGUAGGGAUACCCGCUGAACUUAAGCAUAUCAAUAAGCGGAGGA